GUACGGUAGUGCCACUCAAAACCAUCGAUUAUUGAUUAUCGAGAUUUUGAAUGACUCUCCGUACAG
rnacentral:pre_miRNA from 1 species